CCCCCCGCCUUCAUCGGCGGAAGCACCACAUCCGCACCCCAACUUCUCCCCGGUGGCAGCCCACAUCCCACCGCCCGCCUCCUUCCCCGGUGGUACCUCUCCCCCAUGCGCACUAGAGAAAACCCGGCGCCGCUCCUCCUCCCAGCUCGCGCGCCACUCAUCUCUUUGCCUGCAGCUCGCGUGCGGCCAAAUCCCCUCCCCUGCAGCUCUUGAGCCGCCCAUCCCGUGAAGCUCACGCGCCACCGCUCCCAUCCCCUGCACCUCGAGCGCCGCCCUUCCCUUCCCUACAGCACGCGUGGAUCCCUUUCCCUCCCCUGCAGCUUGCACGAUGGCGCCCCGCCAUCUCCAUCCCUGCAACUCGCGCAGAUCUCUUUCCCUGCAGCUCGCAUGAAGUCGCCCCUGCUCCUCCACUUCGUCUCAACCGGCGGCGCCCUACGCUGCUGCUGAAAACAGCGUCGUCAAGCUAGAGGACGCCAUGGCCAAUUCGCGUCCUAGCUCUGAACUCCACGGCCACGGGAGUUCCCAAUCCCGCCGCAGGAGAACACCUGAGACCACGCUAGUCUUCGCCCCCGUGCCGCUCCUCGUCGCUGGUCAGGACCCCGGCGGCCUGGCCCUCCUGAGCUCCGCCCCGCAGCCUCCCUGCUACAUCGCGAGUCGCCGGUCCAUUUUCCUUUGGUGAUAGGAGCAACCCUACGCAGGUUGUACAGGGAAGCACGGGGGAAGCUAACUUCCGUUUUGCUCCGUUUCUCUUUUAUUUCUUCAGGAUCUUGGACAGUUCUUUCUUUCAGAAAAUCUGCUCUCUAUUUUGUUACAGGGAAGCACGGGGGAAGCUCACUUCCGUUUUGCUGCCACGCCAUAACCCGGCGACCUCCUUCCAUGGUUGCCACGCCCACCCGCUACAAGCCCCCUCACUCUCUCCCAUGGUCUACCUCGCGCCAUCCAUGGGAGUUCAUAGAUCGGGGCUGUGGGAGUCCAUCGGCGCCGCCCCGUGCUUCCCCCUGAGUGUAGCAGCGGCCUCCCCGAAAUUCGUCGAGCGUGGGAGUGCUCUGACCAGAAACCCUGGAUUCCUCUCCUCGGUGGCCACAUGGUCGGUCCCUGAUUAAGCAUUCUCGCCUGCAUCACUGGGUUCUGCGGUUGCAUUGUUGAGCUCAACUUACCAUCGGUCCCCGUGAGUAUGUACUCACAUAUCUGAUUACUUGAUAAAGCACUCCAUUCCCAAAGCCAAUGAUUAUGCACGAGUGUUAUUGCUGCUAGUAUCUGCUAGCUAUUUUCGAGUGGAUCAUAACGGGUUCUGAUUACAGCAUGCUAGUCUGUUUUAUAUUUGCAGGAUUUCGGGGAGUACAUAAAAGUUCAGAUGUCUGAACCCCCAACAUCCAAGAAAUCCAUGUGCGCCGCUCUGGAAGUCUUGGGAAUAUGGACUAUAGUCCACCGUACCAUGCUCCUGCUCCUUGCGACCUUGCUGUGGCGUGUCGUAUUGCCCGGAAGUCUAGUGAGCCGCCACCAGAAGUUCACAUGCACCAAACUCUGCAUUGCGUUUUGUUGUUGCUUGCCUAUCUACGUAGUGUACAGGGUGCACUAAAAAUAUAUACUAUCGUGACCUUUUCGCUACCACAAUAUUUGUAAUCACGCUUUAGCUUUUCCUUCCAAACCAUACAUCUUAGUUGUACGCUACCAAUUGUUUGGGUUUGAACACGCCAGGAGUUUAGUUUGUAAUGCAUAGAAGUUCAUUUAAAUUUGGUGAGUUUGAAAGUGUUGAACUGCUGUUAGUGUGGACUGUGAACUGCACAAGGUACAACUAGGAGUAAUAGUUCUAUAAUUAAUGAAUAGUAGAGCCUGGACAGAGGCAGGGUAUUGUCAUUUAGGAAUGCAUGCUUGUGCUCACUUGAUUUCCUUGUUAACUGCAGUGAUGCCCGUUUUCCUCUACAUCUCAAUCAGAGAAGUUCUAUUUGUACACAUGUGAAGUCCAUCUUCCCCUGAAGCUGCUAAAUCCCAUCCCCGGUGUAAGGGAAGUGCAUCUCUGUGUUUGUUGCCUACUCUAUUACAGUUUAGGAAAUUUAAUUGGCUACUAAAAGAGAGUAAAAUCAGUGAAGAUCUACUGCUAUGUAUUUUUUUUGCUUUGAUUGAUUUGCUGGUUGGUUGGUAGUUGGUAAAAAAUCGUAGUAAGCAUCAAGAUAAUUCAGAAGUUCCGAACUUUUAAAAAAGUGUAGUCCAGUCCGGCGCAUGCUAGAAGUUCAUCUUGUGUUUGUCUCGCUGCAAUUUGUCAUCUAGUAGUGUGCAUGGCUGAACUAUCUUUAUUCUACUAGCUGUCCUGAUAUUCUGUAUUCACAAGCUAUAGGAUGUCAUGUUGGUGUGCCAAUUCAUCUAUUAUUACAUAUGUAUGAAAAAAUCACCUUCACAGGGCAUGAGCACUCAAAUUAUUCCUAUUUUACCUCAGGCGAUUUCACCCGGGAAGUUCAGCGCGCCCCCAUCGGGAGUCCACCGUGCUCAGAGCUCGCGCGCCGCCCCUACGUACGCCCGAGUCCUACCCCCUUCCUGGAAGUGCAGUGAAAGUUCAUGGAGAGAGAUCAUGGGGCGGUCGACUAUCUGGCUAUGGUUUCUACGUUCAUGUGAAAAUGGGCAACAUAAUUUUUUAGUACGGUUAUUCGCCCCUUUACCUUGAUAUGGAGCAUGUCAUUGCAGACAGGAAAGCAGCAGGGCACUUUACACGAUGCUCAAUAGUAGGCAUACUCCAACACUAGACAAAUAAUCAUAGAGCCGCAUCAAUUCCAUGAUUCAUGCAAAAAGAAUCAUUUGUUUUUAUCUGGUCAUUGACUAACAAAUUUUUUAAACAUCAUACUUGCAGUGUUUGGUUCAAAAGUUCUGUUAUUUGGGACACAAAUCUGACAGACAACAACCUCACCCAUAAAAAAUGAAAAAGAAGUAGUUCCAGAUGGACGCCAUGGAAGUUCACUGGUUCAUUUGACAGGAUGCAAAGUAGUACAGCCGUCGGGUGCUCUUGCUGCAAUGUUGCUGAUACGAACUGGAACAGAUGUUGUCUUCAGCGGGAACAGUUCGCCUGCAUAUAAGUUCACUUCUUAUCUUGAUACAGUGACAUUGGUGCAGUUCACUGUAAGCCAUUGUGCGGUUCAGUUGGUUGCUGUUUGUCAAAGGGGAGUUUGCUUUGUCUGAAGGCGAAGUUCAGUUUUCUUUGCGGAACAGUUCGUUUCAUAAUCAACAAGCUAUAUAUUGAUCAGAUAUUUAUUUAUUUAUCAGAACAUAAGAUGCACGGAGCCAAGGUACUUGAGAAGCCCACUCGCAUCGUCCGAGCAUCACAUGCAUAUACAACAAGGACUCCCUGAUCACCGCCAACCCGAUGAGGCAAUGCCGCAGAGGACAAGGACAUAAAUGUGGUGCUAGCCUACGCUACUUCUAGGAGGUGGAUGCGGCUUGGCGGUCGCUCCCUGUCCAUGGCGUCCUUCAAGCCCAAAUGUCGCGCCGCGGGGGCGUCUGUUGUAGGAACAUUCCCAGGACGGGCACGGUGCUGAGUGAAGCUUACUGAUACUAAUUUGUGGAGUUAACUUCUCUAUUCGUGAAUUUUGUGUGUCCUGAUACUUCAAUUUAGACUAUUCCCACAAGAUGGAUUUUUAUUUGAGUCUACUAGAUAGAUUGGCCGUGAAGUUCGCUUCUGAUAUUUGGGUUGACGGGUGGAUGACUUUUGUAUAUUAAUUAUGUGUGAAGUUCACUCUUAUGCAUCUAGAGCAGUACACUUCUUGAAAAAGAUGUUCAGUCACGUAUGAAAAAGAUUAUUUCUUCGGUA